rnacentral:rRNA from 1 species
AUGGAUCAUGAGGUCCUGGAGCGUAUACUUGAUGGAAGAGAAAAUCCGACAAAUCUAUCACUCUCACUUUUGAAGGAUAUCACCGAAAAUUUCUCAGAGGAUCGAGAAAUCGGCCAUGGUGGAUUUGCAACUGUUUAUAAGGGAGUGCUCCCGAAUGGGAACGUUGCGGUAAAGAGGAUAAAGAGCAGUCAUUCAAUCAAGGAGACAUUGUUUUAUCACGAAGUUGACAGCCUGUUGAACAUUGAACAUGAAAAUAUUAUACGGUUUCUUGGCUUCUGUGCUAGCACAGAUCAGACGGCAAUAAAAAUUGAAGGAUUGAAACAACAUAUUUAUGCCGAGGUACGAGAAAGACUACUCUGUUUUGAGUAUGUCAGCAAUGGAAGCCUGAGAAAGUAUAUUACAGAUGAAUUAAGGGGACUUAAAUGGGACACACGUUAUGAAAUAAUUAGAGGCAUUUGUGAAGGUUUGUACCAUCUGCACCAUGAAAAGAAAAUAUACCAUAUGGAUAUGAAACCUGAGAAUAUACUGCUAGACAAUGAUAUGGUUCCGAAAAUCACUGAUUUUGGUUUAUCGAGACUCGAUGAGAAGUCACAAACCAUGUGUGAAGUUCGUCUUGGAUCACUCGGAUACUGUGCUCCAGAAUACAUAAUUCAGGGAAAGAUGUCAUUCAAAUCAGACAUGUUCAGUUUGGGAGUUAUAAUUAUUGAACUAGUGACAGGACAAAAGGUGAUCCCCAAGAAUAAAAACAAUGUAUUUAGGAGAUGGAGGCACAGAUGGAGGAAAACAGGGAAGGAAACACAGUUGGUUUACCAACAAGUAUCAAAAUGCAUGGAAAUUGGGUUACUUUGUCAGGAAAUUGACCCGUCCAAACGACCUUUUAUAUGGGAUAUCAUAGAUGAUAUCAGACAAGAGGAAUGUGUCAAUGGGUCAAUUAGAAAUGUCUCUCAAUAUAAGUUUGGACAGACAAGCUCGUAUGCUCCCUUAGAAGUACAAGUUAUCUAUGGACUACUCUCCCUAGUUGUCUCCAUCUUAUGUUAUACACAAUGGUGGAGCUACAGUCCAGCCAGCCACGACAGCUGCCUGGGCUCUGGAGUGGAUCCUCAUUCAACCCACUGCAUUAAAUGA